rnacentral:rRNA from 1 species
CCUACGGGCGGCAGCAGUGGGGAAUAUUGGGCAAUGGAGGAAACUCUGACCCAGCAACGCCGCGUGAAUGAUGAAGGUCUUCGGAUUGUAAAGUUCUUUUCUAAGGGAAGAAGAAAUUAACGUUACCUUAGGAAUAAGCCUCUGCUAACUACGUGCCAGCAGCCGACGUAAUACGUAGGAGGCAAGCGUUAUCCGGAAUGACUGGGCGUAAAGGGUGCGGAGGUGGCUGGAUAAGUUGGUAGCGUAACUCCGAGGCUCAACCUCGGCACUACUACCAAAACUGUCGGACUGGAGUGCAGGAGGGGCAACUGGAAUUCCUAGUGUAGCGGUGGAAUGCGUAGAUAUUAGGAGGAACACCAGUGGCGAAGGCGAGUUGCUGGACUGUAACUGACACUGAGGCACGAAAGCGUGGGGAGCAAACAGGAUUAGAUACCCGAGUAGUC